rnacentral:misc_RNA from 1 species
GAAAUGCGAUACGUAAUGUGAAUUGCAAUUCUCGUGAAUCAUUGAAUCUUUGAACGCAUAUUGCGCCUAGUGGUAUCCCGCUAGGCAUGCCUGUUUGAGAAUCAUUAUCACCCUCAACCUCGGUUGGAUUUGAGUUAUUGCCAAGGCAUGACUUUGAAUGGAGCGUAGGCUGGAAUUGACACUCGGCGUUAUUAGUUUGCAGCUCUGGCUGCGAUUGAGUGCUAGUAGUGGAUAAACUGGGCUACCCCCUUGAACCAACGUUGAGUUGGACUACAUCGAUUGAUGAACUUGGUCUCAAAUCAGGCAAGAGUACCCGCUGAACUUAA